CGGAAACAUAUCCCUCAUCAACAAGAACUUCAACAACACAACCAACAACUUCAACAACCAAAAUAAAUCUUUUCUUGGGAUUAAAAUGAGUUGGUGUGUGGGGGUAUGAACCAACAAACACUAAGGAUCAUAAAAUCCCUCAACGUACAAGAGAUUCAACUCAAAAACACAACCAAAUCAUGUCCCAAAUCAACAAGGGACUUCAACAACACAAUUAACAAUAUCAACAACACAACCAACAACUCCAAACAACACAACCAAUCUUUUCUCAAUAAUAAAACGAGUUUGGUGUGUGGGGGAAAGAAUCAACCCAUCACUAUGAACUCACAUACCUAUUAGGGAUCACCCCCGACGAUUUCCACGACGAUCUUUGACGGAAACUCCU
rnacentral:lncRNA from 1 species